GGCCCGGCGCCCAAUCGGGAGGCUCCUUGGGACGGACGGGGGGGACGGGGAGAACUUGGCAGGAGCGGGGAGAGGGGAGAGGGGAGAGCGGGGAGGGGGGAUGGACCGCCCCGCCCCGCGGGAAGGUGGCGGCAGCCGCGCACCUGCAUGCGGGGGGGGGGUGUGGGGGGGUGGUGUGCGGAUGGACGGACGGACGGACACGGGGCGAGAGCGCCGGCAGAUGCGGCCCGACGGGGCGGCCUCCCCCUCCCCGCCCCGGGUCCGCUGCGCACGGGCGAGGGGCGGACAAAAGCCGCCCCGAGUAGGGAAGGAAAAGAAACUUUAGGAAAGUCAUCCACGCGGGGGCAGGGGAUACAGCGCGGUGGCCCACGCGGGAAAGUUUUCCACUCGGGAAAGUUUUCCGCGCGGGAAGUCUCCCGCAGAGGAGUGCCGUGGCGCGGAGUGCGCUGCCCCGGGUGCGCGUCUUUCACGUGUUAAGCAUGGGGAAGCCGGGGAAGCCAAAUCAUGCUCGCGGGCGCUGCCCCCACGCGGGUCACAAACUUUUAAGAGAAACAGGUCCGUGGCCGCCCACCUCCCGGCCCGGUGCGCAGGGGCAGCGGCUCUGACACGCGUGGUGGGGCUGUAAGUGGGAGCCGCGCGGAACACGUUUCACGUGCGAGGCAGAAAAUAAACACGAAAAGGAGCAUCAGGUUGCGGAAUGGAACUAACGGCGGCGCCGAAACCCGGCUGCUCGCACCCCCUCAGCAGCGCUCCCAAACUUUCUGACAACUUAAACGCAUUCCAAGCUCAGCACAGCCCAUUCUCGGCCAGCUCCGGUGGGAAAGCUAGGAGAAAUUUCUCUUUUUUUUGGGGGAAAAAAAAGCAAACACCAAAACAUUAUCUUUGCAGCAAGUCCGGGCUGCAAUCUGCACCAAAGCCUGCCGGGCGCGCAAUGUCCCGCCGUGAGCGCGGGCUUCCGCGGCGCGGGUCAAGGAGGGCCCAGUACCCCCCGCCCCGGUUGCCGCCGAGGGUUGCCCCGUUGCUGCGGGCAGCCUUCCCGUAGGAAAACUGCCUUAGGCUUGCAGGCGGCAGGAGCAUAUAUGAAGGAAAGGGAAUAACGUCCUGCGGAGGGACAGACGGCAGUGCAGGGCGCUCGGCGGCAGGACAGCGGGAUACAUGUAGAGGUGAAGCCGAAUUCUGCAAACGCUAAUAAAUAAAUAAACAGCUGCCUCUGACACUGAGUUUGGCACCACCGGGGCUCAACUGAACUUCAGCCACUGUUGGUUUACCCAGACGAGAAAUUGAGGCACUGGGAGUGAAGCGAUGUCCCCAAGGUCACACAAUAGAGCAGAGGCAGCCAGCCUGGCCCCAGCCAUGGGUACCAUGUGCGCAGGCUUCCACCUACCAUCCGCCUUCCUGCCUCAUUUUGUACCUGCUAGCGGGUUACCUUCCACCAUCCCUGUGUCUUGCAGCUUUCUCAAAUCUAACCACACCGUCCCUGCGACCUGCCACACCAGUAAGUCCAGCUGGAAUUAAAUGAAUGCUUUCCAUUCACCCUCUAUCUUGGGCACCGUGUGCUCCAGACCCCUCUCUACCCUGAAGGACAGGCAGCCUCUUAAGGAAUGCAAGUUGAUGCUUCACAGCUCAGCAGUGAAAGUAAUUCCCCACCCACCACCCAAAUUUUAGAGGUGGAGGAGAAACUCUUCUUCCUCCGGAAUGUAAUUCCUCAGAAGGGGGAGGAGAAGGAGAAGGAGAAGGAGAAGGAGAAGGAGAAGGAGAAGGAGAAGGAGAAGGAGAAGGAGAAGGAGAAGGAGAAGGAGAAAGAAGGAGCAUGCCAGCAGCUCGUAUUCAGGAUUUGUAGUGAGCAAAGUCGUCCCUUGUUUCUUCUCUAGGGCUUGGUGGCUUGGGCAGUGGUGGGGCAGCCUCUUGCUGCUGUGGGCGGGUGGCAUGGCUGUAUCUGUCGCUUGCUGCCCUGACCAAGUGUGGUCCUGGUGAGUGAACUGCCACAGAUUCCAGUCUGUCUUUAAAUUCCUGUAAAAAGUUCCUAGUAACUAAUAGGUCAUGAGGUAGUCACCAGGUCCUUUUCUUGGUCAUUAAUACAUUGCAAGGUAGUCACACUGUUUUAAUUUCUGAGUUAUGGGUGUUUUGGAUCCCAACAAAAGUAGUCUAUGUCCACAAAGUUUGCAUUCAAAGCCUGGGCACACUCUGGUCUGUGGGUUCUCCUAAUGUUUGGUGGGUGUCACAAACUUCAGGUCAAAAUACCACAUGGGGUUUGUCAGGUCUGUGUUCAGCUGCAGGGUUUGUCCCAUCAGAAAUAAAUCCUCCUCCAAAUUUUGGUGCCUCUGCAGAGAAAAGGUUUGCUGCAAACUAACAGCUUUCUGUGCUUAUAUUUCUUUCUUUAAGGGGAAGAAUAAAACCAGAAUGCAAGAAACUUAGGAAAACUUUUGCAGUGUGCCCAUGACCAUGCAUGAUUCCUCUGUCCCCUUGGAGUCUGACAACAAAAUUGAACGUGACGGGUGCCUGGAAGAAUCUUUCUGUGGAGACAGAGGUGGCAUUGGUGUUUCUUUGGUAGCAGACAAUUUGCCAGCUCCCUUUCAUCCCUCUCUGAACUAGCAACGCCUGUAAGUAUGUCAUCCCACUCUUCCUCUUAAUUCUCCAUUCAGAAAUCGCAAGUGAAUGUCGGAUGUCAGCCAGAUCCAGCAGAGCCAUCCCAGUUCACAUCAGCUGGUGCUCUGGCCCUGUGUUUGUGCACGCUGCUGGAUCGACGCUGCCGGGACGGGAAUUCCCUUGGUACAUGAGCUCCCAGCAAACCGUGGACUCUGGAAGUGGUGAUCAUUUGUCACAUCAGCCCUGCUGAGGAGGAAUCCGUCUCUCACAACUCAGAAAAGCCUUUGCUCUCUGUUGGCAUCGAAUUCUCCCGGUGUCACACGCAGUUGCACCUCCAGGAGGUGUAAUUGCCGAGUCUGUUUAGAAGUCAAAAGCAAAACUCUGGCAAAUGCGGGUUCUGAUUCACACUGUAUUACACGAAAGGCUGUGAGGUGGAAGCUGAUUUCAGCUUCAUCUCUGAUCCGUUCCUCUGAUAGGGGUUUAUGCUCAGUAUGGCUUCGGUUAAAUCAGUCAGUGCUUACCUCGCUGAACAGUUUUCCAUCUCUUUUGACCAAAGCAUGCCUUACCUUCAAUGUGGGCUGAAACGAUGCUGGACAAGAAUUUAAAAACAAAAUAUGGGAAGCUCUUCAGGCCAUUCUUUUUUAGGGAUGCACACUGUUGUCUUGUACAAAAACUAAUCCCGACACAGCUUUCUUUCUAUUAAUCAUGUCAGAAUAGCUGCCAGAGAGGGACAGCUCUUAGCCAGCACCACCCUACCAGCAUUCAAAGAUCUGAACUGUUUUAGCAACCUCCAUGUGGAGGGGUUAAAAGCACAUUAAAAAUACUUUGAGAUGCCCUGUCCUAGUACUUGCAUUAAAAGUCUUAAGAAGUUUAAAAUCAUAAAGCAAGAGAAAAGGAAGCGUAUUUGAUAGUUUAAAACUGUACCCUACCCUGCUGAAUAAUCAAAGCUGGUAUUGAACAGGACAUGUAGGUUAAUUUUAUAGACUUAUGGUCUUUUGGUUGGUUGGUGUUUCUAAGAAAGGAGGACAUAUUUCUGUAGGGGGAUUAUAACCUGGGGAAAACACUUUCGAUUACUUAGUGUGUGUGCUGAAUUAAUUUAUUUUUAUAUUAUAGAGCAACAAUUUUAAGAACCCAUCUUUUCUAAUAAAAUGUCAUUCCCAUUAUGUGAAGUGUGCAUGUG